rnacentral:misc_RNA from 1 species
AAUUUCUCAAGCUUGGACGGCUUUUUUGUCUGUCCUUAGCCUUGGUUGUUGGGCUUUACCGUGUCCUUUGUUGGGACGGCUGGCCUUAAAAGCAUUAGCUGAUCCUUGUGUGGCACUGGUUCUACUCAGCGUGAUAACAGCCUGAUCGCUGAGGACAUCUUUUGGGAUGGCCAGUUCUCAUUUGGGUUGCUUCCAAACUUGGUUUUGCAGAUUCUUCAAACUGUGUUCCACUUUUCAG